UAGCCUGUCCACCUUGUUAAGAUGUUGAAAUCAAGUGGUCUACCUUAUUUCUCAGAAAUAGAACGAGUUGCCAAUUCCUUAUAGACCUGGGUUUUAUGUUUAUAGCACGUUUAUAAAACACAGACUAGAGAGCUAGUAUAACAGCCUUUGGCUAAAAUGCUGCUAGCAGUUUUCCAGAAUCAAUGUUCAUUGAUACUCCUGUUUUAGUAGUGUCUGCGCACAAUUUGAGGAGUUGAGACAUAGUGUGUCUGUUUAAAUGGGAAGGUGCUUUACAACAGAAAGGGAGUGAAUGAAACGAGACCAAAAAGACAACAGGAGAACAAGAGGACAUAAAUGCUCAUAAAAACUAGAAGAAAAAAACGUUGAUUCUCGUGAUACAGGCAUUUGGAAUACCGCGCUAAAACAUACAUUUGAAUUAAUCAAAUUAGAUACCUUAUUCCAGGUAGAACAUUUUGGUUCCAGGUAGAGCCCUUUCGGGUUCCAUAAAGAACCCUUCCCACAGGCUUCUACCUGAAACUGAAAAGGGUUAUCUUAUGGAGAACCAUUUUUUCUAAGAGUGUGGUAGUAAACCGUAGGGGAUAGAGGUGAUGGGAUUAUUGAAAUGUGGAAGGCAAAGCAGACCAUCCUUGAUGAUGCUGCCUGACAAUUUUUGCAAACUGAUGAAUCUCUGUUUACAGUAAAUGUCAGCGUUUAGCAUUGCACGGGAGGAAGGAGGGAGAAGUAGAGGGAGAAAGGGCCUGCCAUGGCUGCUUUGUAUUCUGGACCAACCAUUUCAAUGUCAUUUGGUAGGAAUGAAAAGCAGAAAUACACUGUAUUUUACCAUUCAUUGUUGUUGGGUUCUAAUUUGAAAUGUUCCUAUACUAGAAGUUAACAAGUUCAUGUAUGAGGAAUGUACUGUAUAUGGUGGGGUCAUUGGAGGUUGAAUAAGUUGUUUCGGUCUGGAGUAAGGGAAAAGUAGGGGAAAAGGUAAUCAUUUGGUUGCGGCCACUGAUAAGGUUGAAUAGCUGUGGAGUAGUGAGGAAUGUGUGCCAAGGUCAGGUUAGGUUAGAUGAAGUGAGAAGGAACAGUUUCAUUACACACCUUACUUAACCCCAAAAGGCUUCUACCUGAAACUAAAAAGUGUUCUCUUAUGGAGACAGCCGAAGAAGGCUUUUGGAACCCUUUUUUCUAAGAGUGUGGUAGUAAACUGCAGGGGAUAGGGGUGAUGGGAGAAGAACAGGCUGAGGGAGAAGUUGGAUGAUGCAUGCAACGUCUGAGCAGGGGGAACGCAACCUCUGUUCAAGUGUAAAAAGGUGAACCUGCUAGCAGCAUAUUAUAACUGACUUGGGGGCAUACACAAACACACACCUGAGCGGUCUGCCAGGUUAGUGGGUGAAUGUGUGACUCAUUUCCUUUCCUGGAGACGUCAGUCUUCUGCCGGGCUGUAAAAGGAGGUGAGGUGGUUCCGUGUUCACGAGAUCAGAGGACGGUUCACCAGGAACACGGUUGUUGUCAAGACUUGAGGUACUGCUGCCAUCAUACAGUCUGUCUCUCUCUCACAGGAUUACCAUGGAGAGAAAAGGCUUGCUUUGCAUCUUUGUCUUGUUGCUACCACUGGCCUUAGAGUCUGCAGACAUAUGUCCUUAACUCAACAAAAGACCUCAGGAACAUCGAGUUUGGCCACAGAUUCCCUCGUCAGGGCCUAAUGCUGCUACACUUCGUCUCUGGCGGCCUAAACGUCGAUAACAACGAUGCACUCAUACCAACGUUCUUACCAGAAAGGGGAGACUGGGGCUUCCAUCACUUUAAUAACUAUAAAGUUUUCCACAACUGCAAAAUCAGAACAGACAGGGUUACUACGAAGUUGAGAAUAUCAACACACCAACAGCAUACUCACUCGAUCCUUAUGUCACUCUCAGCUAUUACCUUACCCCAGGAAACGUAGAGAGGAACAUGGACAGGUUAGUUGUCAGAACAAGCCCCAACAGUCCACUGUUAGAGGCAAUCUACAUCACACAGCACUAUCGAAGAAGCAGUGAGUAUGACCCCAAGAACCCCUACCAGAUCAGCCCCGCCCCCCUGAGGGAGAUCAGGACCCUCUCGCAAAACAGGGUGAACAGUGUGGACGUGUUUCUGUACGCUGCCGGCUAUGACGUAGACUCCAGAACCUUCCCAUGGAACUGCUCUGCCACUGAUAGUACGUACAAGGUUGAAGACGCAGGCAGAAUGACUCUAAAUGAGUCCCCUGCUAUAAUGAAAGGGGCAGUGGUGAAUGACCACCACACAGAGUGCUAUGCUGUUGUGCUCCAGGUGAAAUCCACAGAAAGUGGGUACGCCCGGCUGGGCUAAUGUCCCUGACAGCCUGCUGGAUGUGAGGGUGAUGCUGGCACUCUUUAAUAAAGAUGGAGAGAAUCUCUUAUCUCUCUCUCUUGACACGCGCAGCUACGGAACCUAUGACCCCAAAAAAUGCCUUAACCACGGCCUACAGGUCAAGCUCCUCUCCAAGGACGGGUCAGAUGUCUUCAUGAGAGGACCUAAAUAUGAUGACGCAGACAGGAAGGUUGCUGUUGGCAUAGAGGGGAUUGACGCCAGUCUCCAGCUCUACACCUGAGAUGGCUACGGAUGCACUCGCCUGUUCAUCAAUAAGACCUUCACCGAUUGGAAGACUGAUUUAAGAUUGAAGUACUCGUGGGUUGGAUUCUACUCCAAUCACAACUAUUCUAGUCAUUGUUACCAUACUUACCAGUAUGUUAUCUAUUUCACUAAACAGGAUGACACAUAUGAUUUAAAUAUGAUAAAGAUGAUAUAUAUUCGUAUGAGCCUAGUUUGUCCAUUCAACCUGGAGCUCAAGCUCGAUUCUUCCUCAAGGAAACAUAUGAUCAAAUUCUGGCAAAAACUAAACCAUGGGAAUGGUAAAAAGGUGUCUGGAGGAUUGCUGGUAUUAGUAUUAGUGUCUCCAGCCGUGAGCGAGGUACUUAACCCCUCAGACUGUUGAGCAAAAACGGUCAUUUAGGGAGAAACCAGCAGAAUCUUACAACACUUGGAAAUAAAUUGGAAAGCAACAGUGUAAAUUUAAAGCACCCAACAGAGAACACCUCAGUCAUGUGAUUACCAAAGAGCCCUGUCUCCACCGCUUACACGACACCACGCCGUCUCCGUGGCGACAGGGGGCAGCCAAUCACCAUGCUGACGACAGUAGAGAGCAGACAGGAUUGGACACAUCUGACCCUUCUGUAACUCAGAGACUGAUUACUACUAAAAUAUGUUUAGUCUCAGGUAAUAAGAUGGAGAUGUAGGGAGCGGAUGAGUGAAUUAAUCAAAAGGCAUAAAUCAGCAUAAUGCCCUGAGGUAGUUAAUCAACUACUCUAAGCUACCUGACCUAUGAUAACUUCAUAACUGCAAUUGAACAAACUACCCUGACCAGACCAGACCAAUCGAACACUGAUGUCUGUAAUGUCUACAUGUCAAAUGUUUGUAUUGUCUACUACCGUCAAUUGUGUUACAGUUUUUCAAUAUAAAUUGUAAAGUAUGUUUUGUUGUGUUCAUGGAUCCCAGGAAGAUUAGCGGUCGUCAUGGCGUCAGCUAAUGGGGAUUCCAAUAAAGAUAAAGAUGAAUAACA